AGUGAACGCUGGCGGUAGGCCUAACACAUGCAAGUCGAACGGCGGCACAGGAGAGCUUGCUCUCUGGGUGGCGAGUGGCGGACGGGUGAGGAAUACAUCGGAAUCUACUCUGUCGUGGGGGAUAACGUAGGGAAACUUACGCUAAUACUGCAUACGACCUAUGGGUGAAAGCAGGGGAUCUUCGGACCUUGCGGGAUUGAAUGAGCCGAGGUCGGAUUAGCUAGUUGGCGGGGUAAAGGCCCACCAAGGCGACGAUCCGUAGCUGGUCUGAGAGGAUGAUCAGCCACACUGGAACUGAGACACGGUCCAGACUCCUACGGGAGGCAGCAGUGGGGAAUAUUGGACAAUGGGCGCAAGCCUGAUCCAGCCAUACCGCGUGGGUGAAGAAGGCCUUCGGGUUGUAAAGCCCUUUUGUUGGGAAAGAAAUCCAGCUGGCUAAUACCCGGUUGGGAUGACGGUACCCAAAGAAUAAGCACCGGCUAACUUCGUGCCAGCAGCCGCCGUAA
rnacentral:rRNA from 1 species